rnacentral:rRNA from 1 species
GAUGAAUGCUGGCGGCGUGCCUAACACAUGCAAGUCGAGCGGCAGCGCGGGGUGCUUGCACCCUGUCGGCGAGCGGCGGACGGCUGAGUAACGCGUAGGAAUUUGCCUCAAAGUGAGGAAUAACUGCCCGAAAGGGUAGCUAAUGCCGCAUACGGUCUUCGGAUUAAAGGAUUUAUCCGCUUUGGGAGAAGGGUGCGUUGGAUUAGGUGGUUGGUAGGGUAAUGGCCUACCAAGCCGAGGACCCAUAGCUGGUCUGAGAGGAUGAUCAGCCAGACUGGAACUGAGACACAGUCCAGACUCCUACGGGAGGCAGCAGUGAGGAAUCUUCCACAAUGGGCGGAGGCCUGAAGGAGCAACGCCGCGUGAAGGAUGAAGGCCUUCGGGUUGUAAACUUCUUUUAUGAGUGAAGAAUAUGACGGUAACUCAUGAAUAAGCACCGGCUAACUACGUG